UUUUUGAUGAUAGCAGCUAUGGAUAAUCAUUGCCUAGACCCAUUAAUUCCUUGGAAGUUACAAAAUGGUGAUAUUGUAAUUGUGCCAUUUCUUUUAAAACAAAACCUUUUUAUUUUAUUUUAUUUUAUUUUUUUUAGAGACAGGGUCUUGCUGUCACCCAUGCUAGAGCACAGUGGUGCAAUCAUAGCUUACUGUAGCCUCAAUAUUUUGGGCUCAAGAGAUCUUUCCACCUCAGCCUUCUGAGUAGCUGAAACUACAGGAACGCAUGCCCUGGGCGAGGGAGACGUGGCCUUCUGGCUUUCAGACUGCAGAGAUUCGUAGCUCUUUGCUUCAUGUUUUUUCAGCCUUGGGAGAAGGAUGUUGCAAUCUCACCAAGAUUUAGGCUGUUAUCAAUAAAAUGAUUUCUUCUCCGCAGAUAUGUAAGGUUUGGGGAAGACUUAUUUGUUACAUUUUUAUUAUUUUAUUUUAUAUUUUUUCUUUCUCGUUUUGUCUUUUCUAAUUUUUUUUUUUAAUUUUCUAUUUUCUGGGGAAGACUUUUAAAAACAAAUCUGGGCUGGGCAUGGUGGCUUAUGCCAGUAAUUCCAGCACUUUGGGAGGCCAAGGCGGACGGAUCACUUGAGCCCAGGGGUUUGAGACCAACCUGGGCAACAUGGUGAAACUCUGCCUCUACAAAAAAUACAAAAAAUGAGUGAGGCAUGGUGGUGGGCACCUGUAGUCCCAGCUACUUGGGAAGCUGAGGCAGGAGGAUCGCUUGAGCCCAGGAGGUUGAGGCUGCAGUGAGCUGAGAUCGCGCCACUGCAUUCCAGCCUGGGCGACAGAGCAAGACUCCAUCUCAAAACAAAACAAAAAACCCCAAACAAACAGAAAAUCUGGAACUAUUGUGGCAAGCAGAGAAAGUGCAGAACAGAAUCAGACUUAGGUGCGAGCAGGGAUGGCUGAGAUCCAUGAAACUGAACCACUCUCUAGGCAGAAAGGGAUUUGUUUUCAAGCAAGUGGUAGACACAUCUCGGAAGAGGGCAACUCAUUGUGGGCUAUGAGGCCUUGGGGGAGCAGAGGUCACCUAACUUCUGUACAGAAGGGAAGCUGUAUAUGAGAGAAGGCAAGAAGGCAGGGAAGUUUGGCAUUGUGUACGCAUGGGCACAGGUGCUUGUGUUUCUGACUCCCAAGGCCACCUGCUUUUCCUUCCAGUGGGGUCUCCCACUUUUGUACUCCCCCUGGUGAAGUGUCACGCAAGUACUAAGUACAUUGUAUAUGAUUCUACUGGAACCAGUGACUUUUUUAUUUUUGUGAAGGAUCUUGGAGUCCCACAGACCUGGAUUUGAUUUCUUGCUCUGCUACUUAACAGUUUCGUAUCCCUGGUGAGUUGUGGAAUCCCCUGGCCCUUGGAUUCCUCCUCUGUAUAAUGGGGCAACACGUGCUUGUCUAUCUCCAGAUGUGUUGCAAGGAUAAUAAAUGAAAUAUGAGAGUGCUUUGAAAACUAUAAACUGCAAGGUAAAUAGUGCAGCAAGUUGUUAUGGAUUGGACUGGAUUUCCCCAAAGUUCCUAUGCAGAAGCUCCAGCCCCCAGUGUGACUAUAUUUGGAGACGGGCUUUAAAAAAGAUAAUUAUGAUUAAAUGAGAUAAGAAGGAUGGGGCCCUAAUCGGACAGAAUUGGUGUCUUUAUAAGAAGAGGAAGACACCAGUGAUCUCUCUGGGCGCAAUCACAGGGGAAAGGCCACGUGAAGAUGCGGUGAGAAGACAGCUGUCUGCAGGCCAGGAAGAGAGGCCUCACCAGGAACCAGCCCUGCUGGCACCUUGGUCUUGGACCUCUAGCCUCCAAAUUGUGACAAAAUAAAUUUCUG
rnacentral:lncRNA from 1 species